GGUUGCGGCCAUAUCUAGCAGAAAGCACCGUUUCCCGUCCGAUCAACUGUAGUUAAGCUGCUAAGAGCCUGACCGCGUAGCGGAGCGGCAGACCAUACCCUAACAUCAGACGCUGC
rnacentral:rRNA from 1 species